rnacentral:rRNA from 1 species
GGUUGUCGUCAGCUCGUGUCGUGAGAUGUUGGUUAGUCCGCAACGAGCGCAACCCCUACUUGUUAGUUGCCAUCAUUCAGUUGGGCACUCUAGCGAGACUGCCGGUAAUAAACCGGAGGAAGGUGGGGAUGACGUCAAAUCAUCAUGCCCCUUAUGACCUGGGCUACACACGUGCUACAAUGGUUGGUACAACGAGUUGCGAGUCGGUGACGGCGAGCUAAUCUCUUAAAGCCAAUCUCAGUUCGGAUUGUAGGCUGCAACUCGCCUACAUGAAGUCGGAAUCGCUAGUAAUCGCGGAUCAGCACGCCGCGGUGAAUACGUUCCCGGGCCUU